rnacentral:tRNA from 1 species
GGGCGGUUAGCUCAGCUGGGAGAGCACCUGCCUUACAAGCAGGGGGUCACAAGUUCGAGCCUUGUACCGCCCACCA